CCUACGGGCGGCUGCAGUGGGGAAUUUUGCGCAAUGCUCGUAAGAGUGACGCAGCGACGCCGCGUGAAUGACGAAGGCCUUCGGGUCGUAAAGUUCUUUCGACCGGGAAGCAAAUGCCUAUAAGCAACUGUGUAUGUAUUGACGGUACCUGUAUAAGCAGCAUCGGCUAACUCCGUGCCAGCAGCCGCGGUAAUACGGAGGAUGCGAGCGUUAUCCGGAUUUAUUGGGUUGAAAGGGUGCGCAGGCGGAAAAUCAAGUCAGCGGUAAAAUGGAGGGGCUCAACCUCUUCGAGCCGUUGAAACUGGGUUUCUUGAGUGAGCGAGAAGUAUGCGGAAUGCGUGGUGUAGCGGUGAAAUGCAUAGAUAUCACGCAGAACUCCGAUUGCGAAGGCAGCAUACCGGCGCUCAACUGACGCUCAUGCACGAAAGUGUGGGUAUCGAACAGGAUUAGAUACCCCUGUAGUC
rnacentral:rRNA from 1 species